rnacentral:rRNA from 1 species
AGUGAACGCUGGCGGUAGGCCUAACACAUGCAAGUCGAACGGCAGCACAGUAAGAGCUUGCUCUUACGGGUGGCGAGUGGCGGACGGGUGAGGAAUACAUCGGAAUCUACUUUUUCGUGGGGGAUAACGUAGGGAAACUUACGCUAAUACCGCAUACGACCUACGGGUGAAAGCAGGGGAUCUUCGGACCUUGCGCGAUUGAAUGAGCCGAUGUCGGAUUAGCUAGUUGGCGGGGUAAAGGCCCACCAAGGCGACGAUCCGUAGCUGGUCUGAGAGGAUGAUCAGCCACACUGGAACUGAGACACGGGCCAGACUCCUACGGGAGGCAGCAGUGGGGAAUAUUGGACAAUGGGCGCAAGCCUGAUCCAGCCAUACCGCGUGGGUGAAGAAGGCCUUCGGGUUGUAGCCCUUUUGUUGGGAAAGAAAAGCAGCAGGUUAAUACCCCGCUGUUCUGACGGUACCCAAAGAAUAAGCACCGGCUAACUUCGUG